rnacentral:rRNA from 1 species
AUUGAACGCUGGCGGCAGGCCUAACACAUGCAAGUCGAGCGAGCGGCGGACGGGUGAGUAAUGUCUGGGAAACUGCCUGAUGGGGGGGGAUAACUACUGGAAACGGUAGCUAAUACCGCAUACCAUCAGAUGUGCCCAGAUGGGAUUAGCUAGUAGGUGGGGUAACGGCUCACCAAGGCGACGAUCCCUAGCUGGUCUGAGAGGAUGACCAGCCACCAUGGAACUGAGACACGUUCCAGACUCCUACGCGAGGCAGCAGUGGGGAAUAUUGCACAAUGGGCGCAAUCCUGAGGCAGCCAUGCCGCGUGUAUGAAGAAGGCCGUCGGGUUGUAAAGUACUUUCAGCGGGGAGGCGUUACCCGCAGAAGAAGCACCGGCUAACUCCGUGCCAGCAGCCGCGGUAAUUC